GGGUUGUGAGGUUAAGCGACUAAGCGUACACGGUGGAUGCCCUGGCAGUCAGAGGCGAUGAAGGGCGUGCUAAUCUGCGAUAAGCGCCGGUAAGGUGAUAUGAACCGUUAUAACCGGCGAUACCCGAAUGGGGAAACCCAGUGUGACUCGUCACACUAUCAUUAACUGAAUCCAUAGGUUAAUGAGGCGAACCGGGGGAACUGAAACAUCUAAGUACCCCGAGGAAAAGAAAUCAACCGAGAUUCCCCCAGUAGCGGCGAGCGAACGGGGAGGAGCCCAGAGCCUGAAUCAGCAUGUGUGUUAGUGGAAGCGUCUGGAAAGGCGCGCGAUACAGGGUGACAGCCCCGUACACAAAAGCGCAUGUGCUGUGAGCUCGAUGAGUAGGGCGGGACACGUGGUAUCCUGUCUGAAUAUGGGGGGACCAUCCUCCAAGGCUAAAUACUCCUGACUGACCGAUAGUGAACCAGUACCGUGAGGGAAAGGCGAAAAGAACCCCGGCGAGGGGAGUGAAAAAGAACCUGAAACCGUGUACGUACAAGCAGUGGGAGCCCCACCACUAAGCCAGUGGUGAACUCCACAUACGCAUCCUUUGCUGAGGAUACGGUUAACGGAGCGAAAGCGACGUUCAACCUCAAAAGAAGCAGAGGGGGCUUAGUGGUGGGGUGACUGCGUACCUUUUGUAUAAUGGGUCAGCGACUUAUAUUCUGUAGCAAGGUUAACCGUAUAGGGGAGCCGGAGGGAAACCGAGUCUUAACCGGGCGUUAAGUUGCAGGGUAUAGACCCGAAACCCGGUGAUCUAGCCAUGGGCAGGUUGAAGGUUGGGUAACACUAACUGGAGGACCGAACCGACUAAUGUUGAAAAAUUAGCGGAUGACCUGUGGCUGGGGGUGAAAGGCCAAUCAAACCGGGAGAUAGCUGGUUCUCCCCGAAAGCUAUUUAGGUAGCGCCUCGUGAAUUCAUCUCCGGGGGUAGAGCACUGUUUCGGCUAGGGGGCCAUCCCGGCUUACCAACCCGAUGCAAACUGCGAAUACCGGAGAAUGUUAUCACGGGAGACACACGGCGGGUGCUAACGUCCGUCGUGAAGAGGGAAACAACCCAGACCGCCAGCUAAGGUCCCAAAGUCAUGGUUAAGUGGGAAACGAUGUGGGAAGGCCCAGACAGCCAGGAUGUUGGCUUAGAAGCAGCCAUCAUUUAAAGAAAGCGUAAUAGCUCACUGGUCGAGUCGGCCUGCGCGGAAGAUGUAACGGGGCUAAACCAUGCACCGAAGCUGCGGCAGCGACGCUUAUGCGUUGUUGGGUAGGGGAGCGUUCUGUAAGCCUGUGAAGGUGGCCUGUGAGGGUUGCUGGAGGUAUCAGAAGUGCGAAUGCUGACAUAAGUAACGAUAAAGCGGGUGAAAAGCCCGCUCGCCGGAAGACCAAGGGUUCCUGUCCAACGUUAAUCGGGGCAGGGUGAGUCGACCCCUAAGGCGAGGCCGAAAGGCGUAGUCGAUGGGAAACGGGUUAAUAUUCCCGUACUUGGUGUUACUGCGAAGGGGGGACGGAGAAGGCUAUGUUGGCCGGGCGACGGUUGUCCCGGUUUAAGCGUGUAGGUGUGUGUUCCAGGUAAAUCCGGUUCACUUUAACACUGAGGCGUGAUGACGAGGCACUACGGUGCUGAAGCAACAAAUGCCCUGCUUCCAGGAAAAGCCUCUAAGCAUCAGGUAACACGAAAUCGUACCCCAAACCGACACAGGUGGUCAGGUAGAGAAUACCAAGGCGCUUGAGAGAACUCGGGUGAAGGAACUAGGCAAAAUGGUGCCGUAACUUCGGGAGAAGGCACGCUGACACGUAGGUGAAGUGAUUUACUCAUGGAGCUGAAGUCAGUCGAAGAUACCAGCUGGCUGCAACUGUUUAUUAAAAACACAGCACUGUGCAAACACGAAAGUGGACGUAUACGGUGUGACGCCUGCCCGGUGCCGGAAGGUUAAUUGAUGGGGUCAGCGCAAGCGAAGCUCCUGAUCGAAGCCCCGGUAAACGGCGGCCGUAACUAUAACGGUCCUAAGGUAGCGAAAUUCCUUGUCGGGUAAGUUCCGACCUGCACGAAUGGCGUAAUGAUGGCCAGGCUGUCUCCACCCGAGACUCAGUGAAAUUGAACUCGCUGUGAAGAUGCAGUGUACCCGCGGCAAGACGGAAAGACCCCGUGAACCUUUACUAUAGCUUGACACUGAACAUUGAGCCUUGAUGUGUAGGAUAGGUGGGAGGCUUUGAAGCGUGGACGCCAGUCUGCGUGGAGCCGACCUUGAAAUACCACCCUUUAAUGUUUGAUGUUCUAACGUGGACCCGUAAUCCGGGUUGCGGACAGUGUCUGGUGGGUAGUUUGACUGGGGCGGUCUCCUCCUAAAGAGUAACGGAGGAGCACGAAGGUUGGCUAAUCCUGGUCGGACAUCAGGAGGUUAGUGCAAUGGCAUAAGCCAGCUUGACUGCGAGCGUGACGGCGCGAGCAGGUGCGAAAGCAGGUCAUAGUGAUCCGGUGGUUCUGAAUGGAAGGGCCAUCGCUCAACGGAUAAAAGGUACUCCGGGGAUAACAGGCUGAUACCGCCCAAGAGUUCAUAUCGACGGCGGUGUUUGGCACCUCGAUGUCGGCUCAUCACAUCCUGGGGCUGAAGUAGGUCCCAAGGGUAUGGCUGUUCGCCAUUUAAAGUGGUACGCGAGCUGGGUUUAGAACGUCGUGAGACAGUUCGGUCCCUAUCUGCCGUGGGCGCUGGAGAACUGAGGGGGGCUGCUCCUAGUACGAGAGGACCGGAGUGGACGCAUCACUGGUGUUCGGGUUGUCAUGCCAAUGGCACUGCCCGGUAGCUAAAUGCGGAAGAGAUAAGUGCUGAAAGCAUCUAAGCACGAAACUUGCCCCGAGAUGAGUUCUCCCUGAGACUUAGAGUCUCCUGAAGGAACGUUGAAGACGACGACGUUGAUAGGCCGGGUGUGUAAGCGCAGCGAUGCGUUGAGCUAACCGGUACUAAUGAACCGUGAGGCUUAACCUUACAACGCCGAAG
rnacentral:rRNA from 1 species